UCAUCUGCAAGGCAUGUGGAAUUUCCACAAACAAGGAAUUAUAUGAAAAAAAGGGGAUAUCUUAAAUUCAGCACUCCUGAUAACAAGAAAGUGAAAAGAUUAAGAAGGAAAUUGUGGGCCUGGCAUGGUAGCUCAUGCCUGUAAUCCCAGCACUUUUGGAGGCCGAGGCAGGAGGAUCCCUUGAGGCCAGGCAUUUGAGACCAGCCUGGGCAACACAGUGAGACUCUUUCUCUACAAAAAUAAAAAUUAAAGAAAAAUUAGGCAGGUGUGAUGGUGCACUCCUGUAGUCACAGCUACUCGGGAGGCUGAGGAAGGAGGAUCACUUGAGCCCAGGAGUUCAAGGCUGGCUGCAGUGAGCUACUGUUGUGCCACUGCAU
rnacentral:lncRNA from 1 species